GCCCAACCGAAGUAAAAAAAUAGACAUUUUUCCACAAAACCCUAAUAUUCUUUACCAUACUCAUUGCACGAGCAACUCAUCUCCAUCCCCAUCUGCGGCGACUUCAUCUCCGUCCCCAUCUGCGGCCACUUCAUCUCCGUCCAUAAUUUUCUAUUUCUGAUUUUUUUUCCUGUUAUCUCUCUCUCGGUUUCAUCAUUAUUCACUCAAAUCAGAAGAAAAAAGCAAGCACAAAAUCCUUAACCCAACAGGAACCCUAACCCCCAUUUCAUCAUUACAGUUACAGGAAUCGGAAAACAAAAAUCAAAUGCAACAAAAUCAAGAUAAAGAUUGAAGAACACAGGUUUGGAGUUUGGCUUAGAACCUACACUUCCAUAUUUGAGUCCGCUACCAGUUGGAGAGAAGUUUCUAAUUGGUGCAAAUUUUGCAUUAUACUGGAUUUCAGUUUUUGCAUAUAAUUAGAAUCUACAAAUAGCUUAAGCUAUUUCAAGUGUAUUACAAAAGAGUAAGUGCUUCAGAAGGAGCAAGAAACUUAGUCAACAUGGCACUUGUACUAAUCACUCUCGGCGGGAACUAAGUUCAUAAUAAUAGACAAAAAUAUUGAGAGCAAGAUUGAAAUGACUUACCUACGGCGAGGAGGUUAUCACCGGUUUAUUAUUGAGCAAAUGUAAUUUUGGUGUUGUCUUCAAAAGCUUCAACUCAUCUUCCCGUGGAUUCAUUUGGUAUUUCAAGUGCGCUAAAGGACUUAAAUGGUUGGAUAUUUGUUGUUUUGUUAUUUUGUAGUAGUCCACCGUGUGUAAACUUUCUUAUAAUUUUGUACACUUGUGUAUCCUAGAUUAAUACUUUUGUAAAUUUUGAAAUAUAUAUAUAUAUAUAUAUAUAUAUAUAUAUAUAUAUAUAUAUAUAUAUAUAUAUAUAUAACUAUUUGGUGCAAUGAAAUUAUAUUCUUC